rnacentral:rRNA from 1 species
UACGUAGAAGACGAGUGUUAUUCAUCUUUUUUAACAGGUUUUUUAAAGGGUACCUAGACGGAAAAUCAAGCCAUAGUAGGGACUAAUUUUUUCUAGAGUUUUUUUAUAGGUGAAGAUCGAAUUACCUGAGGAGCGAUGGAAUUGCAUUGAUACAGGUAAGACGGAUAGCAGCGAAGGCAAUCUUCUAUGUAAUAACUGACGUUGAGG